rnacentral:lncRNA from 1 species
UUAUGUGCUUCAGUUCAGAGGGACAUAUAAAGUUGUGAAACGAACUGGAUAUUUCAGUUUGAUUUUGAUGAUCGUUUAGGUUUGCCUCACAUAACAUACAAUCACAUGGACCAACAUGAGUUAAUCCGCAUUUGGCCCGCAUAGUCCACAAUGAUUUAAAUUCUUAAAUUUCUGCCACACAUACACAACAUUAUGUGUGUUUAUUUUAAACAAAUGUCCAC